rnacentral:rRNA from 1 species
AACGCAUAUUGCGCUCUCUGGUAUUCCGGAGAGCAUGCUUGUUUGAGUAUCAGUAAACACCUCAAAUCCCAAGAUUUGUUUCUUGGGGUUUGGAUUUGAGUAAUCCUAACGAGAAGGCAUUCGCCAACUUGGCAGGUCACUUGAAAUGCAGGUGCAGCUGAACAUUCUUCUGAGCUAAAAGCAUAUUUAUUUAGUCCUGUUGACUCUUUAUGAGUCUGCGGAUUAUUACUUUUGCUGCAGCUAACAUAAAGGUUGAAUGAUUUCAAAUGCUGACUGAUGCAGGAAUUUAUCAGUUUAUUUAAAACUGUUAAACUCGAUCUCAAAUCAAGUAAGACUACCCGCUGAACUUAA